CUCCCUCACCGGCCUGGGCGCUCUUGGAGCUUUUGGAGGAAGGCAAGACUUGGUUUCACAGAGGUGAAAGCAGGGUUCAGGUAAAGGGCAUCCUUCAUUUGUUUUCUGAUCUGGUAAAAGUGCACCUUCGGGGAUGGGGGAAAAGGAAGAGAAAGAAGAAAAUGACACUAUUGAUUAUAUUGGAAUGGGAUUAAGAGUGAUUUUUAAAUUUAUAAACUAUAUUGGUGUUACCCUGAAAAUUCUAAAAUAAGUACAUCUUUAGAACAUGCUAAGAAGCUAAUCACGAAAGACCACAUACAGUAUGAGUCCAUGUAAAUGAAAGGUCUUGAGUAAGCAAAUCUGUACAGACAGACAUUAGUGGUUACUAUAAAGCUGGGAGGAGGGAAGAACGGAGCAUGACUGCUGUCAGAUGGGGAGUUUCUUUGUGAGUGAUGAAAGUGUUCGAUCAUUGUGAUAAUGGUUGCACAAUUCUGUAAUUAUACUAAAAUUAUAUAAGAGUCGUGCAAUUAAAUUGGUGAAUUUUAUGGUAUAUGAAUACUAACGAAGUCGUUUACAAAAUAAUGAUGGGUAGAAGAAUGACAAUAAUGAUUUCUGUUCCACUACCACAUCUAAUGCAGUCGAAAGUAUUGCUGAAUGUUGAUUGUGUACCAGAAUUACUUGGCUUGUGAACUGUAAUAAAUAAUGGGAGAGACAAAUGAGUAAAGUAUGGUGGAAAGUGAUCUGGACUGAUAAUCAGAACACUUGAACCCUGGUCUUUUCUCUAAAUUAAUUUUGUUUUCUUAUCAUGCUACUCAAGAUUUUCCUUACAUGGUGUCUAAACUGUAACAUUAAGGGGUUCAGUGAUUAGAAUCCCAACUACACUUCAGUAGGAAGCUGCAGAGGUUACUUCAAGAAACAAAUGUCCCUGAGACUGUUUCUUUAAUGCAGGCAGAUGUGUCAAUUGAAAGCACAACGAUCGGCUUAACAAAAAUCAGGUUGUACUGUGUAUUAGAAGGUAGCCACACUCAUUUUGAACCUUAUACAAAUUUAGAAGGUUGGAAGGAUAGGUAUAAUACUAAUUUUAGAUAAGAAGUGGAAACUCAGGGAGGUUAGGGGAUUUGCCUAUGAUGAUACAUCUGAGUUUCAACUUCACAUCUUUGGAAAGUGACACCAAUGCUCUAUAGUGCUUCCCAUACUGCUCCAAGUUUUACAACGUCAUUAAAGGCCCUGAAUUAAUGCAAAGUCUGUCCUAAACUUCUCCAAAUAGGCUUAAUUUUAAUUUUGUAAAUUGCUGCUACAUGUACACACAAAAAUAGAAAAAUUAUUGUUCUCACAUUAAUCAGAUGUUAGAUGAAGUAGGUAGUCUCAUAAACUACUUUGUGAUGUAGUUCUCAUUCUGUAGACUGCAUCAAAAUCACUUGGGAUACUUAUUAAAAUAUAGACAUUAGAGCCCAACAUCUAGACUACCAAAUCAAAAUUUUUGGGACUUCAAUGCAAGCACAUUGGUUUUCUAGAAUACCCAAAUUUGAGAACCAUUGAUGAGAUCUAUUCUGGUUCUGAUUCCAAGAUCUUGACAACAGUACUGUAUUAGCAUGUUGCCACAUUCAUAGUAAACCUUACACAGAUUUAUAAUGUUGGUAAACUAUGUAUAAUACUAAUUUAGAUGAGAUAUUUCUCACUUUUUAAUUUUAUUGCUCCUUAAAAAAAGCUUACCUUAAAUCCUUUGAAUUUGCUGUUUUAGAAAAUAUUAAUGAAUUUUUGUGAGAAAAAAGGAUUCUCUUAACACUACAUCCAUCAACAUAUUAUGGAUUUAUUAAAAAUCACAAUGAGAUGUCACCAUAGGUGCACCACAAUAUUUUUAAUGAAAAUAUAUGAUAAUACCAAUAUAGAUGUGGGACAAUAGGGAACUCAAGUUAUAUUUUUGUUAGGAGUUUAGAUGUUAGUACAAGAACUUUGGGAAAAUGUUUGAAAAUUGUUGUGUGCAAACCUUCAUUGAGGGUAUACUCAAGCAUGCUGCUGGAUGCCAGGGGUAGAGAUUGCACACAUGAGAAAGCUCAUGAGAGAUAGUGUCCCAUAGUGUAGGGAUCACUGUGGUAAUAAGUCUACCAAGGAACCCAUGGAAUAGUGGAGGCAGCUAAUGUACUCUGGAUGUGGAGGAGGUCAGGUAAAGCUUUCCAGAAGAGGUGAUCAGAGGUGAUUUUUGAAUAGAAUGAAUCUUCAUUUGUCAAGAAAGAAGGUUGGUUUAAGUAGAGAAAACAACAUAUUGAAAUGAAAAGGACUUAGAGCAUAGAGUGGUCAGGGAUCUGUCAUGUUUCAGUAUUUCUGGAGCAUUGUGUAUGGGACUUGAGAGAUCCUGGGUAUGACACAGGAGGCAGCAAUGGGGAAGAUAUGAAAUUAAAUGGAGACCAGAUCAUCAUGAAAAGUAUUCUACUCCAUACAAAGAAAUUUGGAGUUUUUCUAAAGGUAACAAGGAGCCAUUUAAGGAUUUUAACCAGGGACUAUGAAAUGAAAAAAAAAAAAAACUUUUAGAAAGAUUACUUUGAUAGGAAUAUAAAAACUAAAGUGUGAAGACUGGUGACAUUUAGAAGGCCAAUAACCUAGUUCAGUUACUAUUGAAAGUCUAAACUGUAGCAGUAAUGGAGGAAAAGAAGGGGAGAACUGGAGAUUUUUUAAGUGUUAUCAAUAGUAUGGCAUGGGGAACCCAAGAAAUCUCCCAAGUUUUGGCCUGGGUAUCUGGUUGGAGGUGUUUCUAUUCACCUCUUUACAUACCUCUAAAAGAAUAAAAAAGGAGUGUUAAUGGAGAUCAAAAGACUACGAACCCUUCUGGAGGAAAAAGAGGUUUCCCCAAGAAGGUGAAUCCCAGGACCCAUAUAUUUUGUUCUUUUGUUGCUCCCACAUGCUACAGUGGUACUUAUAAUUUCAACAGUAGGAGCUAAACUGAAUCCACUUUAGGAAAACUAUUUAUGAUCCUUUACUUUAGAACACAAAUUUUGUAUUGUAUUUUCCUAAGGAAUAAUAGCAUUGAACACAUUUUGAUGUGCUUUGUUUUCCAUUUGUAUACCUUUUUGGUUUAAAAUCUUGUUUCCUUUUUAGAUUGAACAUUUCUAUUUACUUUUCUGAAUUGUCAUUCCCCCUUUCCACCCCCUUUCUUAGACUGUAAUAAUACCCAAGAUUUCAAGACUGGACUUGCAGAUUUGGUUAGAGUUGAAAAACUUUAUUAAAUUUUGUUAUUAAUACUGGCUUUGUUUGCACUGGUGGAGAGAUCAUCUCAAGAAUGUUUCCACAAGGUGGCUCAAUAAUAGACAAUCAAGGUGUUAAUUUAUUAACAGUUCAUCAAGCAGGGAAAGUUCAAGGUAAGUUGCAAAUUUUUUCCAAGAGCUGAGAGAUUUGGAGUCAAAUGAGAAGGAUUGAAUUAAUUUGAACAUACCUGACAUUUUUACAAGGAUAAUCCAGAACAACUAUCAAAAAAAAAAAAAAAAAAAACAGAAAACAAAACAAAACAAAAUGACACAAAACACAAAAGCUUCAGCUGUCAUAAUAUGAUAAAAUUUGAAUAUCAAAAAGAAUAACACCUGUAAUAGAUUAAAACAUUAAAUAUAUAAGCAAAAGUGAUGAUUUUCUAAUAUUAAAAAAGCCGCUAAUUCAUUGAUCACCUUUGGAGGUUGCUAAGACAUCAACUUUGAAAAUGGCCAAAAUUUUAUAAGGGAAUGUUCUUUUUUAUAGAAUUCCAACUAAAAAAUGCAUAAAGAAAGCUAAAAUCAGAAAACUGCUGUGCUAUAACCCUGAAUGAAAUAAUGAAGCUAGGUAACUGUAAACAAUGGACGUUAAAACCAGUAAGUGAAACAUUGAUUGGGAAUGUUUAGAGGGAUUACUCUAAAAUUACUGAUUGAUUUUCAUAUUAGUAAAAAUGGGAUUAAACCAGAAGUUUCAUGUUCUCUUUUAGCUCUACACCCAUACUUUCUAUGAUCUGUUCUCUGAUGCUAAGAUUAGCCUCUGGAAACAAAAUUCUCUUUUCACAACUAGGUCUGUGUUAAGUUCCACCAAUAGGAAGCAAUAAAGAUUGGAAAUGAAAAAAGGGAAAGAAAAGGGAUUGAUCCUUGUUCUUUCUGUUCUUCUCUAAGUUGUCUCAACAGUGGCCCUUCUUUCUGGGGACAGCAGCUUCCUGCCUCAUGCAGCACUGUGAAAACCCCAACUACAGCCCCUGUCUCUAGAGGUACCUGCAGUGGUCUUGGUAUACCUUUUCCUCAGAGAUUUCACCCACAACCCUGGGAAGCCCCUCCUCUGAGCUCAAAAGGGACAGUUUCAUUUUAUUCCCUCAGCUUUAGGGGUGAUAGCAGAUCCUGCAGUUACCAUCUUUUGCUUACAUUUGCAUUAGUGUUAUUUACUCUUUUUUGCUUUCUCACGCUCAUAUAAAUCGAGUCUCCCCUUGAAAUAAGUCAUGUGGUUUCUGUUUUCCCACUGGACCAUGACUCAUGUAUCAAGAAUUAAGUGAUGGGGCUGGGGAUGUGGCUCAAGCGGUAGCGCGCUCUCCUGGCAUGCGUGCGGCCCGGGUUCGAUCCUCAGCACCACAUACAAACAAAGAUGUUGUGUCCACCGAAAACUAAAAAAUAAAUAUUAAAAUUCUCUCUCUCUCUCUCUCUCUAAAAAAAAAAAAAAAAAAAAAGAAUUAAGUGAUGAAAUAGGACUAGCACAACCUAUGAAGUAUUUUUAUUUUAUUGAGGUACAAUUUAUAUGUAAUAAAAUUCACCAAUUGCAAGUAUAUAAUUAGAUGAUUCAUGAGUAUAAGCAUAUAUAGGUCAUUUUCAAUUCUAAAAAAAGUUCCCUUGGGUUCUUCAGUAGAUAGUCUUCCUUCCCUCCUCUGGCUCCAGGAAACCACUAAUUUCUAUUGGUACAGCUUUAUCUUUUCUAGAAUUUCAUGUAAAUAGAAGCAUUCAAUAUGUGGCUUUUUGUAUCUGGCUUUUUUUUACUUAGCACAAGCUCAGACAUUCAUCCAUGUUGGUGUAUGAUUGUCCCUUCAUAUUUGUAUGUCAUGUGAAUAUACCACAAUUUAUUUAUGUACUCAGCAAUUAAUAGACAUUUGGGUUGUCCCCAGUUUUAAGCUGUUAUAAAUAAAUCUCCUAUGAACAUAUGAGCAGAACUUUUUGUGUGAAAGUAUAUUUUCAUUUCUCUUGAUAAAAACCUAGGAGUAGAAUGGCUUGGUCAUAUGUUAGGUAGGUUUGUAAGAAGCUGCCAAAUGCUUCCCAAAGUGGUUGUACUAUUUUUCAUUUUUCACUCCUACACAGCAAUGUAGAGGAGUGCCAAUUGCUCUACAUCCUUGACAAUACUUGAUAUCCUUGAUUUUAAUUGGUCUAGGGAGUAAAUUGUGGUAUCUGAUUAUGUUUUUCAUUUGUAUUUUCUUAAGGAAUAAUAGCAUUGAACACAUUUUGAUGUGCUUUGUUUGCCAUUUGUAUACCUUUAGGGAUGUACAUAUUUAAAUAUUUUUUCCCACAAAAAUUUAGCUUUUUUGUCCUUUUACUAUUGAAUUUUAAGAGUGCCAAAUAUAUUCUGGAUACAAGUCCUUUAGUGGAUGUAUAUUUUCAAAUAGUUUUUUCCUUUUCUAGAUCAAUCUUUUGAAGAUUAAAAAGAUUUUAAUUAUAACAUUCAGUUUGUCAGUUUUUUAUUACAGGGUUUGUGCUUUUUAUGUCCUAUUUAAAUAUCCUUACCCAACUCAAGGUCACAAAGAUUUUGUCCAAUAUUUUCUUUAAGUUUUAUGGUUUGGGUUUUGCAUUUAGAUCUAUAAUCAAUUUCAAGUUGAUAUCUAUAUGUGGUGUGAAGUGUGGAUUAAGAUUCAUUUCAUUUUUUUGCUCCUUUUGUUUUGUUACUUUGUACUAUACAUUCUGGAAAACAGGAAAACAGUAAAGUUAAACAACAAAAAUUUUUUCCUUUACUAUUGGUGGAGACACUGAAUUGAACAAAGCCCUUAACUGCCUUGUUCAACUGAAUUGGCCCUAAUUUGGUUUUCUUUUUAAAAGAUUCCAAAGACAAAACACAGUUUAAAACCUAGCUAAGAUGAAUUUAAACGUUUUUUUCCCUAAACUACUGGUUGAGUACCAGUAGUUUAGCACCAUUUUCUGUUUACUGUUGCAGGCUUUUCUUUGUCUUUUUCUUUUCUUGCUCUUCUCACUGGUCCAGCUGUAUCAUUUUCAUCAUGUUAAUUAUCACUAUCAAAUUUCGUUUUUCUUGCCCUGAAACUCUGCUUUACCUUUAGCAGACCCAGGCUGGGCAGCUUUAUUUCCUUUUUUUUUUUUUCCCUUUAAAUCUGUAACCUCUUGAUUUCCAUUUGUUUAGGGGUUCUGUUGGUCUUCUAUGAUAUUUUUUCAAAGCUGCUUUUCUCACCUCUCUAGUACUUUCCAAGUCACUUCUUUGUUCCUUAAUUGUAGAUUACCAUUGUUUGCAUCUUUGGCUUUAUCCUGUGCUUCCUUAGUCCGUCCUUCCUUCCUUCCUUCCUUCCUUCCUUCCUUCCUUUCUUUCUUUUUUUAAUUAGUUGCUCAAGACCUUAGUUUUUUCUUUAAAGAGAAAAAUUCCCUUUUUUGCUUCUCUGACAAAGUCUAUCCAUUUUAUUUCACCAUGAUGUGAGAAAAGGAUGUUCAAUUUUCUCUGCAGGUCUGAUCAUCUAAAUCAAUCAAAAAUUUCAGCAAGCAUCCAAUCUUUUCUUCUAGAGAUUUCAUUUCAGCAUCUUCUGCUAAGUAUUGUUUUUUUUUCCUUGCUCUUGUUUAGCUCUUAACUUAGCUUCCACUUUGUUUUGCUUACUUUCUUCAUUUUUUUUGAAAAGUAAUCUUCCUUAAAAACUAUUAGCAGAUCUAUAUUUUUGUACUUUUGGCUAGGGAUCUCUAUAAACUUCUUAGCAGAUCAGUGCUAUCAACCAGCAAAUAUUGAGCCCUUAACUGCUUUGUUCAAUGUUCUUCUUAUCAGAAUAUUUAGUACUUAACCUUUAUCUUUUAGCCAUUCUUUUAAUGUCACCAAGGGUUGUGUCGUUUGGGAAGCCUUUAAUAUAAACAAUUUUUGCAUAAUAUUUAUUCUCAUCUGUCACAACUGGGAGGGAUUUGCUUAGAGAUCUUCUGAUUUUAGUUUUGUCUUCACUGAUUUCCAUGAGUUCUGCCUUAAAUUUGCUUAAUGCUUCUACUUUUACAUUAAAGUCUGCUGUUUGAUGGUUUAAUCUCAAUUUGAUGACAGAUUUUGGUCUCCAGAGCAGCAAUUUUCAGCCACUGUAGCUAUCUUUAAGGUCCAGUACCAAGACUCCACAGGCUCACUAACAAGACAAAAUGUCUCCACUUUGCAGCACCACGAGUUGGGCUACUCACUCCAAGACUGAUUUCUUUUUGCUUAUACAUUUGCUAUUGUUCCACUUUUUACUCACUGAAUUACCAUGGAUCCUUCCUUGAAUAUCAGCUAAUUCUGUGUGUGUGUGUGUGUGUGUGUGUGUGUGUGUGUAUUUCUAUCUCUAAACCUCUGUCCUGUUCCAGUAAUCUGUUUGUCCUUACUCCAGUACUAUACUGCCUUGAUUUCCUCAGCUUUAUACUAAAUCUUGAACCCAAAUGAUUUCAACUUUCACUAUUUUACUUCUUUUUGAAAAUGGCCCAGUUUCUCUGUGCAACUCCUAGAAGAAAACAUAGUGUCAACACUGCAGCAUAUAAGCACACGAAAUGACUUUUUCAAUAGGACAACUAAAACCUAGGAAAUAAUGGCAAAAGUUAAUAAAUGCAAUGACAUCAAAUUAAAAAGUUUUUGUACAGCAAAGGAAACAAGAAAUGAAAAGAGAACCCGCAGAAUGGAAGAAAAUCUUUUCUAGCUACUCUUCUGACAAAAGAUUAAUAUCUAGAAUUUAUAAAGAACUCCAAAAACUUAUUUUUAAAUUUAUUUAUUUACUCUAAUUUGUUAUACAUGACAGCAGAAUGCAUUUCAUUUCUUAGUACAUAUAAAGCACAAAUUUUCAUGUCUCUGGUUGUUCACAAAGUAGAGUCACAGCAUUUGUAUAUUCAUACAUGUAUUUAGGGUAAUGAUGUUUAUCUCAUUCCACCAUCUUUCCUAUCCCCAUGCUCCCCGCCCCCGCCAUCCCCAUUAUGGGUCAGCAUCCACUUAUCAGGCAAAACAUUUGGCCUUUGGUUUUUGGGGGAUUGGCUUACUUCACUUAGUAUAAUGUUCUCCAACUCCAUCCAUUUACCUGCAAAUUCCGUGAUUUUAUUCUCAUUUAAUGCUGAGUAAUAUUCCAUUGUGUAUAUAUACCACAGUUUCUUUAAACAUUCAUCUACUGAAGACUGUCUAGGUUGGUUCCACAAUUUAGCUCUUGUAAAUUGUGCUGCUGUAAAUAUUGAUGUGGCUGUAUCACUGCAGUAUACUAUUUUUAAAGUCCUUUGGGUAUAAACCAGGGAGUGGGAUAGCUGGGUCAAAUGGUAGUUCCAUUCCAAGUUUUCCAAGGAAUGUCCAUACUGCUUUUCGUAUUAGCUGCACCAAUUUUGCAGUCCCACCAGCAAUGUAUGACUGACUAUGCCUUUUCCCCCACAUCCUCGCCAACACUUAUUAUUUGUAUUCUUAAUAGCUGCCAUUCUGACUGGAAUGAGAUGAAAUCUUAGAGUAGUUUUGAUUUGCAUUUCUCUAAUCUAGUGAGAGAGAUGUUGAAUGUUUUUUUUAGAUAUUUGUUGAUUGUAUAUCAUAUUCUGAGAAGUGUCUGUUCAGUUCCUUGGCCCAUUUAUGGUUGGGUCAUUUUUUUUUUGUUUUGUUUUUUGGUCUUAAGUUUUUUGAGUUCUUUAUAUAUCCUAGAGAUUAGUGCUCUAUCUGACGUGCAUGUGGUAAAAAAUUUUCUUCCAUUCUGUAGGCUCUCUAUUUGCCUCACUGAUUGUUUCUUUUGCUGAGAAUAAGCUUUUCAGUUUGAAUCAAUCCCUUUAUUGAUUCUUGAUGUGAUUUCUUGUGCUAUAGGAGAAAUAAAAUUAUUAUUCUAUUUCUUAUUAAGGAAGUCGGGGCUUAAUCUGUCAAGAUGAAGAUUUUGGCCUACUUUUUCUUCUGUUAGGCUCAGGUGCUUGGUGAGAGAUAGGGGCUUCUUUCAUUUUGCUGCAUAAGGAUUUCCAGUUUUCCCAGCACCAUUUAUUAAAGAGGCCAUCUUUUCUCCAAUAUAUGUUUUUGACAUCUUUGUCUAUUAGGAGAUAACUGUAUUUAUGUGGGUUUGACUCUGUGUCUUCUGUUCUGAACCAUUGGUCUACAAGCCUGUUUUGGUGCCACUACCAUGCCAUUUUUGUUACUAUUGCUCUGUAGUAUAGUUUAAGGUCUGGUAUAGUGAUGCCACCUGCUUUACUCUUUUUGCUAAAGAUUGCUUUAGCUAUUCUGGAUCUCUUAUUUUUCUAGAUGAAUUUUAUGAUUGCUUUUUCUAUUUCUAUGAGGAAUGUCAUUGGGAUUUUGAUUGGGAUUGCAUUAAAUCUGUAUAGUGCUUUUGGUAGUAUAGUCAUUUUGACAAUAUUAAUUCUGCCUAUCCAAGAAUAAGAAAGAUCUUUCCAUCUUCUAAGGUCUUCUUUAAUUUCUUUCUUUAGUGUUCUGUAGUUUUUGUUGUAGAGGUCUUUCACCUCUUUCAUUAAGUUGAUUCCCCAAUUUUUUUUUUGAGGCUAUUGUAAACAGGGUGGUUUUCCUAAUUUCUCUUUCAGAGAAUUUUUCACUGAUGUACAGAAAUGCCUUUGAUUUUGGUGUGUUGCUUUUAUAUACUGCUACUUUGCUGAAUUCACUUAUUAGUUCUAGAGGUUUUUUGGUAGAAUUUUUUGGAUCCUCUAGGUUUAGAAUCAUAUUGUUGGCAAAUAGUGAUAGUUUAGUUCUUCUUUUCCUAUCCAUAUCCCUUUAAUUUCUUUCAUCUAAUUGCUCUGGCUAGAGUUUCAAGAACUAUGUUAAAUAGAACUGGUGAAUUGGGCAUCCCUGUCUUGUUCCAGUUUUUAGAGAGAAUGCUUUCAAUUUUUCUCCAUUUAGAAUGAUGUUGGCCUGAGCCUUAGUAUAGAUAACUUUUACAAUGUUGAGAUAUGUUCCAGUUAUCCCUAAUUUUUCUAGUGUUUUGAACAUUAAGGGGUGCUGUAGUUUGUUGAACUGUUUUUCUGCAUCUAUUGUGAUGAUCAUAUGAUUCUUAUCUUUAAGUCUAUAGAUGUGAUGAAUUACAUAUAUUGUUUCUGUAUAUUGAGCCAACCCCAGGAUGAACCCUACUUGAUUGUGGUGUACUAUCUUUUUAAUAUGUUUUUGUAUUCAUAUUCAAUUUGCCAGGAUUUCAUUGAGAAUUUUUGCAUCUAUGUUCAUUAGAGAUAUUGGUCUGAAGUUUUCUUUCUUUGAUGUGGUCUUUGCCUGGUUUUGGGAUCAGGGUGAUAUUGGCCUCAUAGAAUGAGUUUGGAAGUGUUCCCUCUUUUUCUAUUUCAUGAAUUAAUUUGAGGAGUAUUGAUAUUAGUUCUUCUUUGAAUAUCUUGUAGAACUGUGUAUCUGUCUGGUCCUGGGCUUUUCUUGAUUGGUAGGCUUCUGAUGACAUCUUCUAUUUCAUUACUUGAAACUGAUCUGUUUAACUUGUGUAUAUCAUCCUGAUUCAGUUUGGACAAAUCAUAUGACUCAAGAAAUUUUUCAAUGCCUUCAAUAUUUUCUAUUUUAUUGGACUAUAAAUUUUCAAAAUGGUUUCUAAUUAUCUUCUGUAUUUCUGUAGUGUCCAUCCUGAUAUUUCCUUUUCCAUCAUGGAUGUUAGUAAUUUGAGGAAAUCAAAUACAAAAACAUAUCAAUAUCUCUCUCCUUCUCUUAAUUAGUAUGGCUAAGGGUUUAUCAAUUUUAUUUAUUUUUUUCAAAGAACCAACUUUUUGUUUUCUCAAUUUUUUCAGUUGUUUCUUUUUUUCCAAUUUCAUUAAUUUUACUCUGAUUUUAAUUAUUUCUUCUGCUGCUUUUGGUGUUGAUUCGUUCUUUUUUUCUAGGGCUUGGAGAUGUAAUGUUAUGUCAUUUAUUUGUUGACUUUUUUCUUUUUUUAAGGAAUGAAUUCAAUGCAAUGAACUUUCUUCUUUUUCAGUAGCAUAUUAUUUAGUCUACAGGUGUUAGAGUAGCUUCUAUUUUUAUUUUAUCAUUGAUUUAUAAUUUUAUUCCAUUUUGAUCUGAUAGAAUUCAGGGUAGUAUCUCUACUUUUUUGUAUUUGCUAAGAAAGAGUUGCUUUGUGGCAUAAUAUAUGGUCUAUUUUAGAGAAGGAUCCAUGUGCUGCUGAGAAGAAAGUGUAUUCACUCGUUGAUAGAUGAAAUAUUCUAUGUAUGUCAGUAAAGUCUAAGUUAUUGAUUGUAUUAUUGAGUUCUAUAGUUUCUUUGUUUAGCUUUUGUUUGGAAGAUCUAUCCAGUGGUGAAAGAGGUGUGUUAAAGUCACCCAGAAUUAUUGUGUUGGUCUGUUUGGCUCUUGAACUUGAGUUUGUUUGAUGAAUGUAGAUGCUCCAUUGUUUGGGCCAUAUAUAUUUACACUUGUUAUGUCUUGUUGAUGUAUGUUUCCCUUAAGCAGUAUGAAAUGUCCUUCUUUAUUCCUUUUAAUUAACUUUGGAUUGAAGUCUACUUUAUUUGAUAUGAGGAUGGAAACUCCUGCAUGUUUCCACAGUCCAUGUGAGUGGUAUGUUUUUUCCCCAACCUUUCACCUUCAGUUUGUGGAUGUCUUUUCCUAUGAGAUGAAUCUCUUGAAGGCAGCAUAUUGUUGGAUCUUUUGGUUUUUAAAUCCAGUUUUCCAGUCUAUGUCUUUUGCCUGGUGAGUUUAGGCCAUUCAUAUUCAGGAAUAUUAUUGAGACAUGAUUUGUAUUUCCUGUCAUUUUUGUUUAUUUUUGGUAUUUAACUUGACUUGUUUUCUUUUUUGAUUCCUUUUUCCUUUAGUGUAAUACCUCCUUUUGCUGAUUUUCAUUGUUGUUUUUCAUUUUCUCCUCAUGGAAUAUUUUGCUGAGGAUGUUCUGUAGUGCAGGCUUUCUGGUUGUAAAUUCUUUUAACUUUUGUUUAUUAUGGAAGGUCUUUAUUUCAUUAUCAAAUAUAAAGCUUAAUUUUUCUGGACAUAAGAAUCUUGGUUGGCAUCCAUUUUCUUUCAGAGUUUGGUAUAUGUUGUUCCAUUAUCGCCUGGCUUUGAGGGUCUAGGUUGAAAAAUCUACUGAGAUCUUAAUUGUUUUCCCCCUAUAUGUGAUCUGAUUCCUUUCUCUUAUGGCUUUUAAAAUUCUUAUUCUGUAUGCUAGGCAUUUUCAUUAUAAUGUGUCUUGGUGUAGAUCUGUUGUAAAUUUGUAUAUUUGGUGUCCUGUAAGCCUCUUGUAUUUGAUUUUCCAAUUCAUUCUUCAUGGUUGGGAAAUUUUCAGAUAUUUUUCAUUGAAGAGAUUGUGCAUUCCUUUGGUUUGAAUCUCUAGGCCUUCCUCUAUCCCAAUAAAUCUUAGAUUUGGUCUUUUGAUGUUAUCCCAUAAUUCUUGGAUAUUCUGUUCAUGAUUUCUUACCAUUUUCACUGUGUGGUCAACUUUAUUUUAAAGAUUGUAUAUUUUGUCUUCAUUAUCUGACGUUCUAUCUUCCAAGUGAUCUAGUCUGUUGGUGAUGCUUUCUAUUUUUUUUUUUUUAAUUUUGUUUACUGUUUCCUUCAUUUCUGGAUUUCUGAUUUUUUUCCCAGAAUCUCUAUUACCUUCUUGAAGUAGUCUUUUGCUACCUGUAUUUGCUCCCUUAUUUCUUUCUUGUUGUGAUCAGUGGUUGCCUGUAUUUGCUCACUUAUUUCUUUGUUGGAAUGAUCAAUUUUUGCCUGUAUUUGCUCAUUUAUAUUGUUCUUUAAUUCAUAGAUCAUUUUAAUUAUGUACAUUCUGAACUCCUUCUCUGAAAUUUUAUCAACUGCACUGUCCAUGAAUUCUAUUACUGUAUUAUCUCAGUUUGUUUGGGACACUUUCCUCCCUUGAUUUUCCUGUUGUCUAUGUGUCUUCCUUUCUUGCAGUGCAGAUCUGAGGUAUUACAGUUUCUACUCUAUAAUAUUAUAGUGUCCCUGCAGAUUACCUGUACCUCACCUUGUUGUUGGGCUUCUGGACCCCAGCUGGUGUCCCAUGAUAAAUGCUCCUGCAACUAAAGGUGGUGGUGGCAAUAGCGGAAUUAACUCAAGAUAGCAAUGGGGGUGUCCCAACAUAGAUGCAACUGCUUUCAGAGAUGGGACUGAAAGGGUGGGCCUUUCAAUGGCUUUGGACUGACUAUUCUGAGAUGCAGCUGCCUUCAGGCCCUAUCUGUGUCCCAAGAUGUAGGCUACUGUAUGGGGAUGGCUAUGGUAAUGGCUACACGGUCCAAAGAUGGAGGUGGGGUGGGCAGGGUUCUGUGUGGGUCUGCUGGUGGGUGGGUGGGUGUGGUCUGGGGCCGGAGUCUACGUUCCAGCCAGUUUCCUGGGCAGUCCUGGAGAAUGUGGCUCGUGGUUAAGCACCUAUGGGUUUAAUCCCUGGUUAAAAAAAAAAUAGGCAUGGAACUGCCAUAUGACCCAGCUAUACCACUCCUUGGAAUUUAUCCUAAAGAAUUAAAGUCAUCAUACUAUAGCAAUAUAUGCAUACCCAUGUUUACAGUAGCACAAUUAACAAUAGCCACACUAUGGAAGCAGUCUAGGUGUCUAACAUAUGAAUGGAUAAAAAGAAUGUGGUAAAUAUAUAUAUGUAGACAGACACACAUAAUGGAGUUUUCCUCAGCAUAAAGUAAAGUGAAAUUAUGUCAUUUGCAGGAAAAUUGAUGGAACUUGAGGACAGUACGUUAAGCAAAAUAUAUAUGACUCUCAUAUAUGGGAGCUAGCAAGGGAAAAGGAAAAGAAAACUGGGGUGACCCAUGAAAAUCAAAUGGAAAUCAGCAGAAUAAAGGAAAGGGACCAGUGGGAGGGAAGAGGAAAGGGAAAGGAGAAAUACUGGGGAAUUAUAUUUGUCAAAUUGUAGUUAUAUUACAUGCAUAUACAAAUAUGUAACAAUGAAUCCCACCAUUGUGUACCACUAUAAUGCACCAAUAAAAAAAAUGUGGGAAAAAAUAAAAUUGCCCAGUUUCUCAUCCAAAAAGGGAAGGACAUUUGUUAUAGAAUUAAAGACAUGAGAGACAUAAAAUUCGCAUCCCUCAUGUCAUUCCCAUUGAAAUGUAAACUUGGAAAAAGUCUACUAAAGAUAUUCAUUGUUCAUUUUUUAUUCAUUCUAAUAAUGCCUCUUUUUGUUAUGAUCUCAUCUCAAAAAAGUUUCUAACUUUGAUUUUAAAAAUGGGAAACAUCUGUAACCUAAUAUAUUAACUCAACUGUUUAUUUUCUAGCUUUAUUAUGAAGAAUAAUUAUUAAAUAAAAUACCCCAAAAUCAUGAAUACUAUAAUUCUUAGAAAGUGCUUUCUAGAUUGAAAGAAAUUUAAUAUAGUUUGAACUAGUCAAAAGUCCAUAAAGUUUGUGAAAUUUGUCUAUAGUAACUUUUUACAAUCUAUACUGUGUGUUGGAAAAUUAAAUACUAAGUUAGGUAAAACUAAAAACAAAUUUCCUCUCUUCAAUGUAAACAUAUUGAUUCAGAAUAAUAUAUCAACUUUUCCACCAUAUCUAGAUCUUUCUCAAAAACUAGGUGAAGAGAAAGAUAUUCCUAACAUUUGAGGCUACAACUAGAAGCAGCAUGUGUUUUACUUAAAACUGCUUUGUGAAUACAAUGUUCUAAUUGCUGAAUUUUCAAGUUUUUUCAUAUGGAAUUAUUUUCUAAGUCUUCCACUUCAUUCAUUUGUUCAGCAAGUACUGAGUACCCACUAUGUGCUAGGCACUUUCCUAGGACAUUGGGGAUAGCAGGCUGAGUAAAACAGACAAGAAGGCCUAGUCUCAUAAAGUUUACAAUCUAGUCUGGAACUCCUUAGCUCAUGUCAGGAAGACCAAUCAUAUUUAACUAGUGGUAUUGUGUAUUUCCCAGUAUAUUAUCUCUUAUCCCCAUGUGUAUGGGAAGAACAGUAGUAAAACACUGUUAUUGUCUUUAGGAAUUGCAUGGCUAUAUGUCUGAGAUGAUAGAUAUGUCAAUUACUCCUAUCUGAUCACUACACAUUGUAUGCUUGUAUUGAACUGACUGCCACAGUACAGAAAGGAUUGGGGAGAGGUUCAUGAAAAUUGAAGGGCGAUCAGUAGGGAAGAGGAAAUGGACAAGAGGGAGAGAAAAGGGGGGGAAAGGGCAAAUACCAGGGAAUGAAUUUGGCCAAAUUAUAUUGUUAUAUCAUGUGCAUGUAUGAAUAAAUAACAAUGAAUUCCUCCAUCAUGUCUAAUUAUAAUGUACCAGUAAAAUAUAAAAAAUUGCCACACUGCAUCCAUAAAUAUAUAAAAUUACUAUGUGUCAUUUAAAAAUAUAUUAAAAGGAGAAUGGCAUGGCAAUCAUUCUGAAUUUCCAAAGUUGAAUAAGAAUAUAAUAAAUUGGAAGGAACAAAAAACUCCCUAUGUGAGUACUCAGCUGAAAUCUUCUCCAGAUGGUUGAGAUAUUUAUAUACUAUGUGAAGCUAUUUAUUGACUUAAUUCUCAUACUAAAUGAAGAUAGGGAUAAAUUUUAAACAUUUUUUAAAAACCUUAGAUUAAAUACCUGUCUCAGAAGAAAGUUAUAGUAGUGAUGGAGGAUAUCAACCACCCAGAUGUUUGAUGUUCACUUUGUUCCCCUAAAAUGAGAAUGUUUUGGUGCCUACUUACCAGGGAUAGAAAGUGCUUAAUACAAGCAAUGCUCAGGGGUAGGGGUGGUGCAAAAUGAGAAAACCACUCUAACCAAAGAAAAAUUAUAUAGCCACAAAUUUUAAAAAGACACUCAGAAAAAUUAUAACAAAGAAGAUAUAUUAAACUACAUUAUAAAUAUAAAGCAUCUUUUUGUAAUGAUAAUAAUGUUAGGUUUCAAAAUUAAAAUAUAUCUGAUUGAGUAGAACUACUGUUUUGAACAAUUUCUCGUGUGACAGACAAAAUAUAAAUUACAAAAAGAAUCUGUCCAAUUGAGUAGUAUACUUGGUGAAAAUAUCUUCUAAGAUGCCAAGACAUUUUAUCUGCAUCUUCACCUGCUUUAGGAAAUAAUUCUGACUUUCUAGGUAAGUUCAAGAAGUUCUAUCUCCAGCAAGAAGUAAUAAAAAUGAUGAGAUAAUAACAAAUAUCCACUGAAUUAGAAUUCCUAUUAGUGUAAAAACUGGCAUUCGUGUAUUGAUCUGUUUUGCAGUCAUUGUAUCAUAUGUUGAUUUAUUAUUAUGAUUUUACUUUUAAAAUAUUGGUAAAGAGACCAGGUGUGUGGUAGUGCAACCCUGUAAUCUCAGUUUCUUGGGAGGCUGAUGCAUGAGGAUUGAAAGUUCAAGGUCAGUCUGGGUGACAUAGUGAGAUGCUGUCUCAAAAAAAUAAAAAAAGACUCGAAAUGUAGCUCAGCAGUAGAGCACCUCUGGGUUCAAACCCCAGUACUGCCCCCUCCCCCCCGCCCAAAAAAGUCGAAAAUCUGAUGUAUUAGAAUUAUGGAGAGCAUAACUGGUAAAACUUAGAACAUAGUAAUCAGCUGUCCUGUUUUGCCCAGAACCAAGGUUUCUUGAAAUGGAAGACUGUCAGUCCUGGGACAGUCCCAGGUAAAGAGGAACAGUUGAUUCCUGCAAAUUUCAAUUAGUUUUUUUUAAAAAAAAUAUGGUUUGUAAAAAGAUAUUAAUUAUAGAGAGAUCCAAGAUGGUGAAAUAGAGGAGGUCGCGUUCCUGGCAGCUCCAUGGUGUGAAACCAAUAGAGCAUACAGGUAGCUUCUCUGCAAAGUGGGUGAACAAAACAAAAAGGGAGGGGGACUUUACUGGAACUUAAAACUGGACACCCAAUGCAGACCAGGUACAUACAUAGGAGGUUGGAUAUAAUAAAAUAAGGAAAAAAUCCCCAAUAGCACAGCUGCUGCCAGAGCCAGGCCAGAAAUCCUAGCCAGAGGGGUCCCUCCAUGAGCAUAGUAGAGGGAUAGGGAAUUAAAGGAACCCACAUUCUGGGGAGGCCUGAGGCGUGUCUUGGUACUGAGUGUUUAGAUACUAAGGAUAUUGCCCAAAAACCUGAAGGACUUACUGCAAGAUUUCCAUGUGUGUGGGGAAAGAAGCCACCAUCUCCCCAGGCAGCAUUGGAGGACAAAGGAAGGAAUCAUUUUGCAGCUUUGGGUGGGUGGGUUGGGGGCACGGUAAUGGAGAAAGCAGAUUCCUGGCAAAACCGAGUUUGGCCUGAAAUACUGACCCAGUAAACAGAUGCUGCACGACACAGUAUGUACUUAAGUGACCAGAAGAAAAUCACAUGUGGGAAGAGAUUUAUACAGGGGACAACUGGUCCUGGAAACCACUCGGCUCUUCCCAUCCCCUGCUGGGAGAGAUGUUUCUGAAAAGGUGGAGGUGGGAGAAAUUGUCUGGAGACUGAACCAGAGGCCAGUCAGAAACAUCUCUCCCAAUAGGUUCUGCAAGUAGACUGGAGUGGGAAGGGAGAUACCUGGCAUAGAAUCUUACAGUGUGGACCAGCAAGUACUGGCUGCUGAAACUGUGCUCAUUUCAAAUCUCCAGACCAAUUAGCAUUCAGCCAAGAGCCUGGAGCCUGCCUAAACCUAAACUCUGCCUCCAGGAAACUCCAACUACAGGAUGACCUCUCUCACUCCAGUAAUCCAUAAAAUGGAGUAUCACCCUCCAGAAGACCCCACCUGAAACUGCUAAGAAGAGAAGCUGAGAAUAUUUUGAACUCCACUAGAAAGAAUGCUUCAACUUUUAAUCAAGAUUUUUUUUUUCUUUUCUUUUUUAAAAUUCUUUUUCACUGGGCUGGGGAUGUGGCUCAAGCGGUAGCGCGCUUGCCUGGCAUGCGUGCGGCCCGGGUUCGAUCCUCAGCACCACUACAAACAAAGAUGUUGUGUCUGCCGAAAACUAAAAAAUAAAUAUUAAAAAAAAAUUAUUUUUCACUGUUUAAUUGUGACCUUAAUGGUACGUGGACGUUUAUACAUUUUCUUAUUUUUUUCCUUCUUAUCUCUAGGAUUUUUGAAGGCACUUAUUUUACAUGGAUUAGUUUUUUUGUGUGUGUGUGAAGUAGGAUGUUUGAUUAGUAUAUUUUAGUUUUGUUUUGUAUUCUUUUAUUUAUUUUUUUCUGAUGGAAUAUAUUUUUAUUAAUUUUUUAAUUUGUUUUACUUAGUUUUACAUGACAGUAGAAUGCAUUUAUGCACUUUGAUAUAUCAUACAUAGAUGGGAUAUAAUUUCUCAUUUUUCUGAGUAUACAUGUUAUAGAAUCAUAUUGGUCAUGCAGUCAUACACACAUACAUACACACACACACACACACACACACACAGUAAUAAUGUCUGUUUCAUUCAUCUUUUCUAUCCCCUUCCCUCCUCUCUCUUUACUUCCCUCUACCUAAUCUAAGGUAAUGCUAUUCUCUAGUGGCCUCUGCCUUAUUGUUAAUUAGCAUCUGCAUAUUAGAGAAAAUAUUCGACCUUUGUUUUUUUGGGAUUGGCUUAUUUUGCUUAGCAUGUUAUUCUCCAACUCCAUCAAUUUACUGGCAAAUGCCAUAAUUUCUAUCUUUAAAGCUGAGUAAUAUUCCAUUGAGUAUAUAUACUACAUUUUCUUUACCCAUUCAUCUAUUGAAGGACACCUUGGUUGGUUCCAUAGUUUAGCUAUUGUGAAUUGAGCUGUUCUAAACAUUGAUGUGGCUGUAUUACUGUAAUAUAUUGAUUUUAAGUCCUUUGGGUAUAAACCGAGGAGUGGGAUAGCUGGGUCAAAUGGUAGUUCCAUUCUAACUUUUCUGAGGCUUUUCAUACUGGUUGCACCAAUUUGCAGUCCCACUAGCAAUGCAUGAAUGUACCUUUUCUCCCACAUCCUUGCUAACAUUUAUUGUUGCCUGUAUUCUUUUUUUUUAGUAUUUAUUUUUUAGUUGUAAUUGGACACAAUAUCUUUAUUUUAUUUAUUUAUUUUUAUGUAGUGCUGAGGAUCAAACCCAGGGCCUCACACAUGCUAAGUGAGUGCUCUAUUGCUGAACCACAACCCCAGCCCCUUGCCUAUAUUCUUGAUGAUUGCCAUUCUGACAGGAGUGAGAUGAAAUCUUGAUGUUGAACGCUUUUUCAUAUAUUUGUUGAUUGAUUGUAUUUCUUCUUCUGUGAAGUGUCUGUUCAGUUCUUUAGCCCAUUUAUUAAUUGGGUUAUUUAUUUUUUUUGGUGUUAAGUUUUUUGAGUUCUUUGUAUAUCCUAGAGAUUAAUGCUUUAUCAGAGGUGCAUGUGGUAAAGAUUUUCUCCCAAUCUAUAGGCUCUCUCCUCACAUUAUUGAUUGUUUCCUUUGCUGAGAAUAAGCUACUCUAUAGAGCUAUAGUAACAGAAACAAACUUAUAGACCAAUGGUACAGAAUAGAGGACACAGAGACAAACCCACAUAAAUAUGGUUAUGUCAUACUAGACAAAGGUGCCAUAAACAUUCACUGGAGAUAGUUUCUUCAACAAAUGGUGAUGGCAAAACUGGAAAUCUAUAUGUACCAAAAUGAAAUUAAACCUCUAUCUCUCACCCUGCACAAAAAUCAACUCAAAGUAGAUCAAAGACUUAGGCACUAGAACUGAGACCCUGUGCCUAAUAGAAAAAAAAAAAAACAGGCCCAAAUCUUCACCAUGUCAGCCUAGGUAUGUCAGCCUAGGAUCUGAAUUCCUUAACAAGACUCCUAAAGUGCAAAAAGUAAAAUCAAGAAUCAAUAAAUGGGAUGUAUCAUUUUAUUUUUAUUUUUAAUUAAAAAACUUUUACUUUAUAUAUUUUUUUCUCCUACCUGUUUCCCUUGAUUCUCUCUUCUGCUAACAGCCAAUCUCUAUUAUUCUCUUUCACUCUUCCUUUAAUCUUUUACUUCUGUCUUCUCUCCUCUUUCUUCAUAAUCUUCACAUCCUAUAUCACUUUCUCCCUGUCCACUGUUUGAAAAUGCAAAUCCAGGGUUAGGUUUGUAGCUCAGUGGCAGAGCACUCCCAUAGAACUUGUGAGGCACUGGGUAUGAUCCUCAGUACUACAUAACAAUAAAUAAAUAAAAUGUACUGUGUCCAUUUAAACUAAAAAAGAAUCUUUUAAAAAAGAAAGAAAACACAAAUCCUUUUGCAAACUUGCUGUUUUAUUACAGGCAAUAACCGAUCCUAUCAUUUCUGUUUAUUAUGAUAAUUAACAUUGUAGAAAUCAUAGUAGGAACCAUUUGGUUUAAUGCUGUAAAUUGUUUGCAUUGGUCAUUUUUUAAAUUUGUCUACCCCUAAACAGUGAGGAACUGGAAACCUUCAGGGAUACUAUAAAUCCACAGGUAGAAACUCUACUGUCUCACAUCCAUACUGGUAGAUGGGUAGAAACAUAAACAAUAUAAAAAAUAAGAGAGAAGAUUGCCCCAAGCAAGCCAAGAUACUCCAAUAACAGAAUCCAUCAACACCACAGUAGAAGAAAUGUCGGAGAAGGAGUUUAAGAUAUACAUAGUUAAAUUGAUCUGCGAAGUAAAGGGUGAUUUAAGAGAUACCUGUAAGCAAAUACAGGAGCAAAAGAUCACUUCAAUAAAGAGAUAGAGAUUCUGGGGGGAAAAAAACAAGCAGAAAUCCUCAAAAUGAAGGGCACAGUAAACCAAAUUAAAAAUUCAAUAAAGCAUCACCAACAGCCUGGACCACUUGAAAGACAGAACCUCAGGCAAUGAAAACAAAAUAUACAAUCUUGAAAAUAGAGUUGAACAUGGAGAGAAGGUGUUAAGAAUAGAACUUCCAAGAAAUAUGGGAUAACAUGAAAAGACCAAAUUUAAGAUUUAUCAGGAUAGAUAAAGGCAUGGAGAUACAAACCAAAGGAAUACAUAAUUUUUUCAAUGAAAUAAUACAGAAAAUUUCCCAAAUCUAAAGAAUGAAAUGGAAAAUCAAAUACAAGGGGCUUAUAGGACCCUAAAAGUGCAAAAUUGCAACAGACCCACAUCAAGGCACAUUAUAAUGAAAAUGCCUAGCAUACAGAAUAAGGAUAGAAUUUUAAAGGCCGUGAGGGAAAAACAUCAGAUCACAUAUAGGGGGAAACCAAUAUGGAUCUCAGCUGAUUUCUCAACCCAGAUCCUCAAACCAAGGAGGUCUGCAAAUGACAUAUACCAAGCUCUGAAAGAAAAUGGAUGCCAACCAAGAAUUUUAUAUCCAGCAGAAUUAAACUUCAGAUUUGAAGAUGAAAUAAAAACCUUCCAUGAUAAACAAAUAUUAAAAGAAUUUGCAACAGAAAGCCUAUACUUCAGAAAUUCUCAACAAAAUGUUCUGUGAAGAUGAAAUGUGAAAAAAAGUGAAAACCCACAGAGAGGAACUACAACUAAGUGAAUAAUAGUCAAUCAAAGAGAAACUAAUUCAAAAAAAAAAAACUAGAAAUAAACCAAAAUGACUGGGAACACAGAUCACAUCUCAAUAAUAACCCUAAUGUUAAUGGCCUAAACUAAUGAAUCAAAAGACAUAGAUUGGCAGAUUGGAUUUUUUUUAAAAAAGAUCCAACAAUAUGCUGUCUCCAAGUGACUCACCUCAUAGGCAAAGACAUUCACAGACUGAAGGUGAAAGUUUGGGAAAAACCAUCACUCACAUGGAUUGCAUAAACAAGUAGGGGUUUCUAUCCUCAUAUCUGAUGAAGUGGACUUCAAGCCAAAGUUAACCACUAGGGAUAAAGAAGAACAUUUUAUACUGCUUAAGGGAAUAAUAUACAUCAACAAGACGGAACAAUCUUAAAUAUUUAUGCCCUAAACAUCUACAUAGCAUCCACGUACAUCAAACAAACCCUUCUCAAUUUCAAGAAUCACAUAGACCACAACACAAUAAUAUUGGGUUAGAACACUUUUAUUCAUAUAUAUGAAUACAAAUGUGAAUAUAUAUAUAAAAAUACACAUGAAAAUAUUUAAAUGGAUAUGGAUAUUUACACUUUUGGUAAGAUAUAGGAUAUGAUUAUGUAACUGAAUAUAUAUGAAAAUUUAUGGGUAGGAUUUGGGUUGCCAUUAGGGUGUGUGUGUGUGUGUGUGUGUGUGUGUAUGUAUAUAAACAUAUACAGAAUAUAUAUGUGAAAAUAUAUAUGGAUAUUCAGUAAUAUAAUUUUUGUUUAAAAGGCUCAUGAUUAUUGAUAGGAUUAGGUUUAGUUCUGAGUUACAGCUUUGGUUUAGGAGAUGGGUUGCCUUUGGAACAUAUAUAUCAAUAUAUAUGAAUAUAAAUAUGAAUAUAGAGGUAAUAUCAUAUACCAAAAUUUAUAUAUAUACUUUUAUCUAUGGAUUUUUUAAGGUAAGCAAUAUUGUUAUGUGUGAAAUCUGGGUUAAACCUAUGAAAAUGAGCUUAUAUAUAAAAUAUCUUUGAGUUUUUAUGUGAAUUUAUGAACUUAUAUCCCCAAAUACAUAGGUACAUUCAUGUAAAAUGUUAUGGUUUAUAUGAAUAGAGGUUUCUCAGAGGUUUAUUGGUAGGUAUAGGAUUUUUAUAGAAAAAAAUAGGGUUAGUUUAGGGAUUGAACAUUUUUAUGUAUAUAUAGAAAUAAAAAUAUGAAUAUAUAUGUAAAAACAUACAUGUUGAGAUAGAUGUUUACAGUUUGUUUUAAUAAUAGUUUAUAAUUAUGUAAAUUAAAAUGUAUGAGUAGGAAUUUGGUUGCUGUUAGGGUAUAUUCAUAUAUAUAUGAAUGUAUGUAAACAUAUGUAGGAAUAUAUAUGUGAAAAUACAUAUGGAUUUUCAGUCUAAAAAUAAAAAAUUUUAAAAAGAUAUUUAUUAUAAAGGUAAAAUUUACAUUCAAGAAUCUUUAAUAAGGAAUGCUAUAUAUUGCAUUAUACCAAGAUGCAUACAAUAUUUACUUUGCUCUGGUUUCUGUUGGCUUAACCUAAGAGAGAUAUCAGAGAGCUAGUGUAUUUAUUCCCCAUCUCUUCACCUUGAUGCAAUUUGGUUACUGGCAGAAUUCUAUGGUCAUAUUUCUUAUAAGGGAGCCUCACUUCCAUACUGUAAACUCUCAUAUGCUAGUUUUUCCCCAUAUCCCUUUUAGACCUAAAGGUGGUAAAAGCAUAUAAUUGCUACCAGACCCUAUACCUCAUUAUUUUCUUUUAACUUUGCCUACAUCUCUGUAAAUUAUUCCUUCAGUACACUCUUUUUGGUAGCACUCUCUAAAUAUGCUUUUUGUUUCCUGCCAGAAUCCUGACAUGAAUAGAUAGAUUUAAUAAAUUUUGAUGAGGGAAUAAACCCUAGAAAUUAAUUAAAACCAAGAGUUAGAAAGGUAGUUUAAUAAAAAAAAAAAAGUUUCUCUAAAAAUAAAUUUUAAAAACCUUACAUUUAAAACCAUUAUAAGGGCUGGGGAUGUGGCUCAAGCAGUAGCGCGCUUGCCUGGCAUGCAUGUGGCCCGGGUUCGAUCCUCAGCACCACAUACAAACAAAGAUGUUGUGUCCGCCGAAAACUAGAAAAUAAAUAUUAAAAAAAAAAAUUAAAAAAAAAAAACCAUUAUAAAUCAUAGAGGAACAUUAGAGCACAUUAGAAUGUGGUCCCCUAACCACCUGAAAUAAUUUCCAUAUUACCAUAGAAGUUAAAACAAUAUCAAUGAAAUGCCCUUCAGGAUUUUAUAGAAUCUGAUGACACAGUAAUAGAGAAAUUGUUUUGAAAAAUAAAAAGUCAGAUACCAAAAAAGGUUAAUAUGUUUAAUCUUUGUACUAGAGUAUCAAUAUCAGAUAUUGUUUUACAAAAUAUAAAUUAAAAAAUUGGCAUUAAAUUAAACCCACAGAGAAUGGAAUAGCUUAAAAAUAAAUUCCAACUAUUAUAAGAAUUUGGUGUGUGCAAGUCAAAAGCAACAUAACAACAGGGCUCAACAUGAAGGAUUUAGAUGAGGUGGAAAUCUGAGAUAUGUCAUCUGUCAACUGGAUUCUAUCAGGUGACAGGUUUCCUGUGUAAUCUGGGACAUGUGUCACCAGAGGUGUGUGGUUUAGCAAUUAGAGAUAUGCAAUAUUUUAUGAUUAGUAAUAAAAAAUAAUUAAGGACUAAUUUUAAAUAUUUAAAAUAUUUAUAUUCAUUAGGUUCUUUUGUUUUCCUAAAGUUUCUUAGAGUUUUGAUUUGUUGUAAAGAUGUUGACUUGAUUUACAUAGCAACUUAGUGCAACAUUCUAAAGUUUGUGGCAUUUACUCAAUCUUUGCCUAUGCUAUUUUUUUUUAUGGAGAAAAUGUACUUAAUCCAACAAGAGUACAAGUGGAAGACAAGGAAAAGGAGGGAAAGUCUGGGAGAAAAUGCAUGUGAGAUGAGCUUACAGUUAAAAGUGGGAAGUAGGCAGUAAAUGAAGAAGUUUUCAAAACUGAAAAUAUCUACUACUUGGUGAAGCCACUGGUUACAAGUGAAGCAGUAAGAGUUUGAGGAAAGAAUCAAAGUUUUGGAGAAGUCAUGAAAACAUUAGGUAAAAGAGAUGAAGAAACAUAAAUAUGAAAAGAAAAAAAAAAAAGAAUUGCCAACCUAUCUCCAGUUGAGAUUAAGAAUCCAGAAUCUACAUUAACAAUCCCCCAGCCAAUUCACACUCUAAAAUGAAAAGUGCUUAAUGUGGAUUUUAUUCCAUUUUGUAUUAAAAAAAUAAAAACACCUAUAUACGUGUAUAAGAAUAUGACCAGCAACUCCAGAGGCAGAAGGAUCACAAAUUCAAGGCCAGCACUUGGCAAUUUAGUGAGUCUCUAUCCCAAAAUAAAAAAUAAAAAGAGCUUGGAAUAUAGUUCAGCGGUAGAGCACCCCUGGGUUCAGUCCCUAGUACCAAAAUAAAAAAUAAAAAAAGAAUAUAUAUGGACCUGGGAUUGUGGCUCAGCGGUAGAGUUCUUGCCUAGCAUGGGCGGGACCCAGGUUCAAUCCUCAGCACCACAUAAAAAUAAAAUGCAUUGUGUUAUGUCCAUCUACACCAAAAAAUAAACUUUUUAAAAAAGAAUAUAUACAGGAAAGUGUCUAGUAUAUAUACCUAUUUGUUAGGAGGGGAAUGUGUUUGAGGUUUGGAGCACUUUCCCUUUUACUCUACGUACUUCCGUAUGAAUUUUUAUGACAGCAGUGUACGUUUGCACUACCAGUGUAAAACAUGGGGAAUGUAAAGCAAUGGUCUAAAAAAGGCACUAAGUUCCUGAGCUGGAUACAUGUCCUUAUCUCCAUAGAGAUCAUCCAGAACCUAUCUACAUAACUUGAAGCUUCAGAGCCAGCAAAAGUCCCACUGGGAUCCUCUCAGCACAGCAAAACAGAGCCAGCCUGAAAGGUUAGGAGUAUCUGAUUCCACUGCUGCUGGGGUGGGGGUGGGGGUUCAACUAGCCAGUAGUGCUUACUUCUGGCCAUUAAAUCCAUCCCAACCCAGAGAAGAUCUGGAAGGCUCGUAAAAUUAUAUUUGUCUUGCUGCUAAAAAGUCUGCCAAUAGGGAAUCUUCUUCCAGCUGUCGGAAAGGGAUCCAGGUUCUAUUUUGACAACUGCAAUAAGUGGCAACAGCAGAAAAUUCCAUGGCUGGCCAGAGUUCCUCAUUAUAUUGCUAUUUUAAGAUAGAUCUAAAGCAACAUUGUAUAUUUCUUGAAAUAUUACUAUUAUUAUUAUUAUUUUGGUACUGAGGAUUAAACCCAGGGAUGCUUAAAAUAUUGAACCAUAUCCUCAGCUCUUUUUUUACUUCAAGACAGGGUCUUACUAAGUUGCUCAGAGCCUCACUAAGUUGGUGAGGCUGGCUUUGAACUUGCUAUCCUCCUGCCUCAGCCUCCCAAAUCACUGGGAUUACAGGCCUGCACCGCUAUUCCUGGCAAAUUCUUAAGAGCAAAGUAGAUAGAAAGAUGCCACUAACAAAUGGAAGAACACUGAAUAAUCAAGAUUCUUCUCUUGAUAAAGGAAACAAAUUCAAGAUGGAAGGUCAAGAAUCAAAAUGAAACUGUCCAUACUGAUUACAUAGUAUUAAUUAUGAAAAGGGCUAGAUUCAAAUUUGAGCUUUAUUACUAAAUUUUUUAAACUACAGUUGGCUCAUUUUUAAUGGGGAAUAAUAAGAUCUAUUUCAGGUAGUCUUUGUGACAUGUAAUUGAGAUAAAAAUUAAUGUACAAUUUUUUGCAAUAUUAAUUAAUGUGAGAUUUUUCUCUUUCUGAACUUCCCAAGGUCGUUUGUGUACCCUUUCCUUGGGGAUUAUUUAUAAGGAGAAAAGCAAUUGUUGAAAGACAAAAAGGUGGGGGCUGGGUUGUGGCUCAGUGGUAAAGCGCUGGCCUCGAAAGUGCGAGGCUCUGGGUUCGAUCCUCGGCAUCACAUAAACAUAAAUAAAUAAAAUAAAGAUGUUGUGUUCAACUACAGAUAAAAAAAUAAAUAAAAUAUUUUUAAAAAGACAAAAAGGUUUUCUGUGUUUUCCAAAGCUUCAACUUAUCCAGGAGAUUGUCUUGGGGGAGUGGAGAGGAUAGGAAGGUAAGUGGGAAUCCUUUCAGGGAAAGAAACAUGAAUAGAGAGUUAAGUGGAUGUACAUCAAGUUUAUAAAAGAGAUAAAGGCAGUUCCAUGAUGGAAACUACUGUUCUUCUGGUGGUUGGGUUUCCACAGGUGAGAGGUACAUAGGGGAAAUUGAAUGCUAAUACUGCUAUCAGCCCUGGUAAAUGUAACUGCCCAAAAGGAGGUGGUAUGGCAAAUGAGUAUUUCCGAGGGACUAAAGAGUUUGGGUAAUUAAUAUCUCUGUGGUGGCCCAUGUGAACCAAAACCCAGAGAGAGUUCUCCAAUUAUGUUUCUCUUGAUGGACCUAUGGGACCUUUUAUAUAACUCAUUGGAUGGGAAAGUAUCUUUGUCUAUUUUUCCUUGAAAUCACAGGUUAAGAGAAGAACUUGGAUGCAGGUAAUUUAUUUGGGAAAUAAUCCCAGAGAUCAAGAGUUUGGGAAAGGAAAUUAGGAGAAGUUAAUAGAAGGUGUAUUAUUGAGUUGGUUACUGUCAUGGACUCAAAUCAAAACUGUCCAUCAAAGGAAAUAGGAGAAAAUUAUUUAUUUACCUACUUCUACCUGCUAAGAGUUGGGUUAUUAACACCUGUAGUUUGCAUAUAUGUUAAAUGCUGAGUAGGCACCUAUGGAUAAUCACAGCAAAUCAUCGGAGAAUGCUGAGGUAGGAAGUGAGAGAAAGAAGGCAGAGUUUGAAGUGAGGUGCUGUCAGUGCAAAGAGGGUAGAACUCUGAAAGGACAUUUUGCAUGACUGGAAUCAGAUUUGAGGCUUAGAGGAUGUGCAGUUGGGUUCCAGGUAUGAUAACAGCAAGAGAGGCUCAAUAAUGACUAACCAUUAAGAGGCAUAAAAACUUUAAAAAAUUAUUUUCCUCCUAAUUAAAAAAGUCAUACAACCAUUUCUGGAAAAAAACUAAUUUUAUUUGAUUAAUUGCAAAUGGAAUUUUCUGGAUGUAUCUUUACUUGAAGUCUAAGAUUUAUUUUCACUGCUGCAACAUGAUGCCUAACAGGCAUAUUAAAACUAGGUUAUUUGUCUGUUGUUAAACAAAGUUAGUUGCCUUCCUCUUCACGCAUCAAUAUACAUGUACAUGCAGGCACACAUAUUUAUACACACCCCUAAGGAAUAAGAGGAAAAGUUCUUAGUAAUGUGAUUCCAUUGUGAGUUUGUACUUGCGUAAUGUUAGCAUUUGGCUCCAAAUCUCCAAGAAACUGACCAAGGAUCUUUCCCUCCAACCAAAAUUGCUGGUUUAGAGUUUGACCAUUACCUCAUUCAUUAUUCUGCAGAAAAUCAUUAUAAGGAAUAUUAUUCCAUUCAAAGCACAGCUUCUCAAACUUUAAUGUGUAUAUAAAUCACUCAAAUGAUAAUUAUCUUACUUCUCUGCUUCUUUGAGUUUCCCUUUACCACUUAUCUUCUAACAUACUACAUAUAUAACUUGUUCAUGUUUAUUGUUUGUCUCACCCACUAUAAUGUAAGCAUCAUGAAGGCAUGGAUUCUUGUUUAUUUGUAUGCCUAGCUCAUAUUAAAACUCAAAGAGUAAGUGAAUAGUGAAAAUAAUUCCUCAAUGAAUUGCAUUUUAAAACACAUCAAGCAUUCUGAAGAGUGCCUGUGGAAUAUCAAAAUAAAAUAGCACUGGGUACUCUUGGAUUCUGAAAACAUGGCCAGAUUAGAUAUUCUUGAAUUUGACCUCUUCUGGCUUUCAGUGAAUUUAAACAGGUUUGUUGAAUGAUUAGUUCAUGAUAUAGUAAUGAAUAAUUCCCAAAUACCUAUAAUUUAAGAGGACAUUUAUUUCUUAAUCAUGCUACAUGUCCACUGUGGGUCAGCAGCAGGUCUAUGCCCACUCUGGUUACUCAGGAUCCCAGACCGACAAAAUAAUUACAAUAUUGAAUAUUGUCAGUCAAAGGGAAAGAGAACUCUGGAAGAUGUGACACCAACAAUUAAAUGCUUAGGCUAUAAGAGAUUCAUGUCACUCUUGCUGACCCAAUCAUUUGGCCCCACCCACUUAUAAGAGGGCCAGGGAAGCUCAAUCCUUCCGUGUGCCCAGUGUAUGGCAGAGACUAAAAUACUUGGUAAGUCCUUUCUAUUGCCAUUUCCUCACAAUCUGCAAUGUUAACUGUCCAGUUAGUUUAUUAUUCCAUAAUUCCCCUCUCCUGACUGGCAACAGAAUCUUUACAGUGCCCUCUAGUGGUACUUAGAGCUACCGCAUUAGUUCUCUAGAGAACUGAAUUCUGAAACUGCUGGAACUGAGCUUAACCCCGCUGGAAUGAAUUAACAGCAUCGGAUAGUCCAGUUAGCCCAACUUUGUAAGCCUAAUAAAGGUAUGCUGGCUAAACCCUAAUUCUUCAAUACCACUUUCUCAGGUACACUGUGGUAUAUCUUUUCUUCCUGACAAGACUAUCCAAAUUUCAAGUAUUUAAGAUACAAAAUCCAACAUUUUUUCACUGUAUAAAUGGUUUUUAUUGCACAGAAACUCUGUCUUCAAUAAACUUUCUCUUCUUUUAAAGUAUAUAAAUAUCAUGAUGAAGCCAAAACGUUAUGUAAUUCCUGAAGUCUAUCUGCAAACUCAACUGGAAUAAUGAUUUUUUUUUAAAUUACUAGAAUGAGAGGAUUUGUUUCUGAGGGAAGCAUAAUUUCACGUUUCUGGUCUCUUAUUAUUGCUUUCUAACUGGAAUCUAUGAACCCUUGGCUACAACAGUAUUUUCAUAUAACUAGUUUCCUUUAUAAUGGUAUGUAUUUUGUUUUAUACAUUUGAAAUCAUAAACCGGAAGAGGGGUCCAAAACUUCAACAGUCUGCAAAGGAGUUACUGGCAUGUUAAAAUCUAUAUAUAAAGCAAGUUCUACCAGUAUGAGGAAACAUUUAAAAAUCUAACACAUGGUGGUGCUAUUGCUUUAAGAGUAAGGAAGAGUAAGGCAAACUAGUUGAAUAAGAAUAUAAAUUUCUUCAGAGAAGCUUGAGGAACCCUAGUGGUGAUGUGGUCACAGAAAGUUACAGUGGUUUUAAAUCUUUAGAAAUUUUAUGAAUUCUUAGCAUAUAAAAUACAAGUUCAUUAACUAAGAUAGUUUGGUCAAAUACAUAAAAUAUAAAUAAAUAUGGAUUUUACCAAAACAAUAUGUAACCCCAAAACAGUAAGUGUUUGAGGACUUAUUAGCCAAUCAAUUCCUUAAACAUUUAUUGUACACGAGAUUAUGGAUUUUCUUUAAUACACAGAUGGCUCAUGCACUUAAGUGCAUACUUCACAUGCACCAAAUUCCAGCCUGGUAUAAACAUGAUGAUUAACAUGGCAAGUUCAAAAGUGAAAGAACAACUCCUGAAUAGGAACUGAUUAUCAAUGAUGGAAAUUGCACAAAGAACCAAGGAACCAACAUAAUAUAGAGCUGGUUAUACUGGCUAAAAUAACAUUUACUUACAGAUGAAAUGAUUUACUUAUAAGAAGGGGGAGAAAGUGGUAGUGGGUAGUGGUAGAGAUCAAAUCAGAUGACCAUAUGAUAAUUGUUAAAGCAGAGAAUGAGCAAAUGGGAAAUCCUUAAAUAAUCUCUGUAUUUUUGUAUAUAUUUGAAACUCUUCAUUAAAAAAUAAAAUUAGCAUAUACAUAAAAUAACAGUGCUAAAGGGUUGAAUUUUUGGUGAUCAGUCAGGUGUGUGAGAAUACACACCAACCAGAGGAAGGUAUAAUACUGAGUGAAUCCCCCAAUUAGAUUUGUGUUGUCUUCCCCCCUCCCCCGCCCCAUAAGGAAAAGAUUUUGCAACAUUGUUCUGUAAGAUCUAAAAAAUAGUUUUUUAAAGAAAAUUUCCUGACCUCUUAUUUGGGGGAUGGAUGGGAGUAUUGUCAAAGAAUCAGGUAUUUGGAAAGACAAGAGACUCUAGCAUUUUUAGGCAUAAGGAACUGAACAAAAGCUGCUAUUUUCUCUCUUUGUAAAUUCUUAAUGACUUUAAAGGAGAAAAGUUAACUUAUUUUUAUUAACUAUGGUUCACUUAAGAUAUAUGUUUAAAUAAAUCUGUUUCAUGUCCAUUGACAAAAGAAUAUUUUCCCACAUUGUUAUAAGUGCAUACCUGUGGGAUUUAAUAUUUUUGAAAAGCUUAAUGAAAAUGCUUUUUUUAAAAAAAAAUCCAUUAAUGCCUCCAUUUAUGCUCUAAUCACAAGAGGAAAAAAACUUGAAAUUGAUCUUUUUUAGCAUUUAGAAAACCUCUAUUUUUUUAGGAUAACAUAAAGGAAAGCAUUUCUAUUUUUAGUUUUACAAAGCCAAGUAGGAAUCACAAUAUUCUCUGUCAAGACAAAUGUAGUACUCUAUUCUCCUGAAUAAAAUAAAAAAUUAUUAAUGGUAAUGCAACGCAUUUUUCUUCAAACUAAAAAAGACCUAUAACCCAAUUAAUAAUGCAGUUGUUCAAGUUAUCUCAUUGAUAAACUGAAUAUUUUUUCUCCCACAUCCUGUCUACGAUUAAGGUUUGGCUAAGAGAUUAAAUCUAGAAGAAGGAGGAUAUGACUCAGAGGAAAUGGAAAGCCUGAAUUUAUCCUUCUGUACCAAGAGGAUUGUGGCAGAGAAGAGAGAAGGCAGAUUGAGGAGCAAUGAAGGCCAUGAAUCCCCUCCCUCAGCUUUGGCCAAAAUGGGAACACCCAUAUCUGAGGACUCUUCCUCAUUCCAUGUUUGAGGCUACAAAAGGAGGUUAUCCACUGACCUGGUAGCAGCUUCAGCAAGGAAAUCUGUGGUACAGGCUCAUUGCAAAGAGUAGGGGUCUGAGUUCAACUUUCCUGAGUUGUCCUUGGUUUCUAGAUGGAUAAGAUGGAAGGUUCCUGCAUUUCCUUAAAAAUGGCUUGAGGAGGUAGUGAGUUUACAUACUAUGCAUGAAGCUGGAAUCAAAAGCAGGUACAGGAAACGGGAAUUUAGCUCAGUAGAGUGAGUGGACACUGAGGGGAGCUAUCCUAGUAAGCAUGAGUUCAAAAGAAGGUCAAAGCAGGACUAAUUACUGCCUAUCAUAGGGCCAAAUCAACUAAAACAGCUGAAAUCAGUAAAUUCCUGAAGUUUCAACAGAAACAUGAGGGAUUUUUCCUCCUCAUGGGCUUCCUCAACUCAUGAGACAAUCAUUAAGAAGUAGCACAAAUGUGUGUUUGUUUCUUCUGUCCCUUCCCUCAUCUUGCUACUUAGUAUGCUGAUAACAAAGAGGUCAAAUCUACAGAGUGGAGCAAAAAGAUAGAAUCUGGUUUCUGUAUUAUGUCAUUGUGUACCAUACUACCUUUGGAUCUCUGAUAUGAGCUUUACUUUGGAAAGAAUGAUUUUCUAUGCUUAAUAAUUAUUGUUUUGUUGUUGAUGACUGCAGUUGAGCCUAAUCCUAACAAAUUAAUAACACUUAUAAUAGGUGGAGUUUCCCAAGAAGCAGACUGAAAUGGAGAGUGGCAUGCAGAAGUAUAUUGGAGAUACUUUUGGAAUCCAAAGUUGUGGAAGGAAGGAUACAGGAUUGGGCAGAGGGAGAAGAUGAGCUGUGAUGUAGUCACAAUAAGGCCUCUCAGAUGACCCCAAGAAGAAAACUGAUGCUGGCAUGGCCAUUGAUAGUUGCCCAGAUUAUCCACAUUCAAUAUGGGCAGCCUCCAGGGAAGGAAGUGUGAUUGUGGUUGAUGUGCAUAUCUAUAGUCAAAGCCAAAGAGGGAGGACAGCUAGGUCUGCCAACCAUUUCACAGGAUCAGAAUAAAUGAUUUCACAGCAACUCUAACUUCCUUCAAAGACUGACAAUUGUGAAUCCUUACAAAAUCCUGGAGUCCUGUGGAGGGCUCAGCUGUCUUGACAAGGAAACAAGAGUCAGACGGUUUAAUGAGACCAACCCUCUCAUCUUCCAGAUAUGUAGCACUGUGUGGUGCAGUCCUGUUAAGCCACUGGUUUCCCAUGUCUACCAGUUCCUGAUACAGAACAUUUUUUACAAUUUUUUCUUCACCUUGAUAUUAUUUCAUCUUGUAAUGUAUAUUCUCCAGUAGUGGUCACACAAUAGAAAUGCAAAUUAAAACUAUACUGAGAUUUCAUCUCAAUCAGUAUGGCAAUGAUCAAGAAUAUAAACAACAAUAAAUAUUGGUGAGGAUAUGGGGGAAAGGGUACACUCAUACAUUGCUUGUGAGGCUGCAAAUUGGUGCAACCACUAUGUAAAGCAGUAUGGAGAUUCCUCAAAAAACUAGAAAUGGAACCACCCUUUGACCCAGUUAUACCACUCCUAGCUAUAUACUCAAGGGAGUUAAAAUCAGCGUACUAUAGUGAUGCAGCCAUAUCAAUGUUUAUAGCAGCUCAACUCAUAAUAGCUAAGCUAUGGAACCAAUCUAGGUGCCCUUCAACAGACAAAUGGAUAAAGAAAAUGUGGUAUAUAUACACAAUGAAAUAUAUAAAAAAGAAUGACUUUAUGCUUUUUCCUGGUAAAUGGGUGGUUCUGGAGACUAUCAUGCUAAGUGAAAUAAGCCAACCCACCAAAAGCCAAAGGUCAAAUGUUCUCUUUUUAUGUGGAUGCUAACACACAAGGGGCGGGGAGGGGUUGGCAGGAGAGGAAGAAUAGAAAUUCAGUAGAUUAGAUAAAGGGAAAUGAAGAGAAGGGAGGAGGUGUAAGAAUAGGGAAGAUAGUAGAAUGAGUCAGACAUAACUUUCCUAUGUUUAUAUAUGAAUACACCACCAGUGGAACUCCACAUCAUGUAUAAUCACAAGAAUGGGAUCCUAAUUAGAAUAAGUCAUAUCCAUGUACGUAUAAUAUGUCAAAAUACACUUUACUGUCUUGUGUAUCUAAAAAGAACAAAUAAAGAAAUUUAAAAAAUCAAACAGAAUCUCUCAUUUUAGUAAUUUCUACAUUAUGUGCACCACCUUCUCAAUAUAGAAAAUGAGAAAACUUACAUAGAUUCUUUUAAAGAAAAUAUAAACUUGUGUCAUAUAUUCCACAGUCAGGUAAGACUCAGAUUCUUCUAACUGCAGUGUAAGGAAAUGGCCACAGGUAGCAGGACUGUUCUUCAUAUGCAGAAAAGGGACUUCUGGCAUGCUAUCCUAAACAUCAUCAGUGCUAAAGGGGAGAGGAAGUGAGGGGAAAGGGAAAAAUAAUACAAGGGGGACAAAUGAAUGUCAGUAGAGGGGGCAGAGAGAGAAGAGGGGAGGGGAGGGGAGGGGAGGGGGGAUAGUAGAGGAUAGGAAAGGCAGCAGAACACAACAGACACUAGUAUGGCAAUAUGUAAUUCAAUGGAUGUGUAACUGAUGUGAUUCUGCAAUCUGUAUAUGGGGUAAAAAUGGGAGCUCAUAACCCACUUGAAUCAAAGUGUGAAAUAUGAUAUAUCAAGAACUAUGUAAUGUUUUGAACAACCAACAAUAAAAAAUUAAAAAAAAAUAAAAAUAAAGGGGAGUGGUAGUGAUAUGCCUCCAACACCCCUGCCUCCAACCAAAGUGUGUCCUAACCAUCUUUGGCUUUGGAGUCUCGGAGUCUGACCUCUCUGAUCCUCCAAGAGACUCUCUGAGCUAACAAUUUUCCUUUAACAAAUCUCUUUACUUCUUUAUUUUUAGUGUCUUUUGGUUAACCUAGCUAGAGAGGAUUCUAUUAUAGCCAGUUAAUAUCCCCAAAUAAAAUAUCCCUAAUAGGCAAAUGCAGUCAGCAAAGGCUCAUAUAAAUCAAAUCCCAUCUUACAUAUAUUAAUAAUUUUCUGGUAUCUUCACUUUACCUGACUUCUGCUUUAACUCUGUAGCCUCAAAUUUGCAUCUUAGAGCCAGGUGCAGUGGCACAUGCCUUUAAUCCCAGCGGCUUGGGAGGCUGAGGCAGGAGGAUUGUGAGUUCAAAGCCAGCCUCAGCAACAGCAAGGUGCUUAGCAACUAGUGAGACCCUUUCCUCUAAAUAAAAUACAAAAUAGGGCUGGGUAUGUGGCUCAAUGGUUGAGUGCCCCUGAGUUCAAUCCCUGGUACCAAAAAAAAAAAAAAAAAUUCAUCUUAGAUAUUACAUUAACUUUCCCUUUCCAUAGGGAAACAAAGACUUAUGACAUAAUUUAAUGGCCCACAUUGUAGUGGUUUCUAGCUGGAAUCUAGAAGAAGUAGGGUGUUACUAAAGGGUUGAAUUUUUGGUGAUCAGAGUCAGGUGUGUGAGAAUAUACACCAAACCAUGGAAUUAAUGGAAAAAUCAAUGCAGAAGAGGUUGUAGGUUGUAUUUUAGGGUACCCACAGAAUAUGCCUCAGCUUUACAACAAAGUUUCAUAAUAUGUGUAAUAAGAAUUGUAAUGCAAAAAAAAACAAGUACAUGUAUAAAGACAUGAAUUGGCAUGAAUAUACUUUAUACAAAGAUAUGAAAAAUUGUGCUCUAUAUGUGUAAUAAGAAUUGUAAUACAUUCUGCUGUUGUGUAUUUAAAAAAAUAAAAUCAAUAAAAAAUUUUUAAAAAGAG
rnacentral:lncRNA from 1 species